rnacentral:sRNA from 1 species
AUUCCACUGACCUUCACCUCCAAUAUCAGCAGGAACUUCAACCAAUCAAAUCAAGCUGUUUACUGGCUAUGGAAAAACGAAAGUACAAAAGUAUUAACUCUAAAAGAGACGCUACCAUCUAGUAGAAAUGGCUGGAUCAUUGCCAAUAUUGACGAAAUAGGCUACUACAGGGUCAACUACGACGAGGACAACUGGAAGGCAUUAACUGACCAGUUACAAGUGGACCAUAAGGUGAUACCUGUCAUCAACAGAGCUCAGAUUAUAAACGACGCCUGGAAUCUAGCGAAG